rnacentral:lncRNA from 1 species
CUCCAUUAAGUGAUCUAUAUAUGAUUGUCGGAUAAAAAGGUGAUCUAUAUUUUUUUGAAUUACCGAUCUAAAUAUGAUUUUUUCGAUUCAAAAUAAACAAAAAUACCUUACUUUUUCUAGAAAUAACAAGAUAUUGUAUGAUAAGAUUAUAUCUAGUUUGUAUGAUUGUAGAUAUCUUCAAUAUGUACAUUUUAAAAAAAGCUAUUAGUAAUUUGCAGGCCAUGAAUCUUUUACCAAGUGUGGUUUGCAAAUAGACGGCAAGGAGAAGCAUAGAAACAACGAAAAAAGUUUUCAUAGCCAUGUUGUGAGGUAGAGAUCACAAAAAGAGAGAUAUUAAAGAAAAAAAUGCUGAUAGAAAAUUUUGCCUAAAAUAAGAGGAGUGUUUCUUCGGGUGAAGUUAUAUGUGUUGGAGCAACAGCCUAUUUAUAGAGCAGGAUAACUCGAUACAUUAAUUCUUUUUUCUUAAUUUGAAAUAUAAAUGACAAUAGUGUUGACAAUGUAGACACUGAAGAGUCUUAACGUGGCAGACACUGAAGAGUCGUAGUUACAUUAAUUGGGUAGUCUAUUUGAUUCAUUACGAAAAGUCGAAAACGUAACAACCUUUUUGAUUAUAUACGUUUGAAUGAGUGUUGAACUUAGGCAUGCACAUUUGGUUAUCGGACCGGGAUCUGGGUAGGAUAUUUCAAAUAUCGGUGUAAUUCGAUAUAGGAAAAUUUGUACAUAUCGGUAAUUCUAAAUCUCGGAUUGAUUCGGUUCGCUACUUGGCGGAUUCGGAUUUUAUCGAGUAUAUCCGAAUGAACCGAAAAAUACCAAACCCGGUUCGGAUUGACUUAUUAUAAUCCAAAUGUAUAGAAGAAUAAUCCAUAUAUCCGAUUAGGGUCUAUUUUUGUAUAUCCAACUGUGUCCAAGAAUAUCCAAAAAUAGCUAAAACUAACAAAAAAUAUCUAAAAUAUCCGAUUUAUCCAAAAAAAUAUAUAUUUAAAAUUAUAACUAUAAUUUUUAAUAUUUGAAUUAUUAUAAGUAUUAAUAUAACUAUAUUUUAUAUAUACUAUUUAUACUUCCGGAUAUUUUCGGAUGCCUGUAAUUUUCGGAUUCGGUUCAGGUUCAGAUCGAUUUUUUGGAUAUAGGAAAUCAUGUACCAUUCAGGUAUCUAUGUCGAAUUGGAUUCGGUUUGUUACCUGAACUUCGAAUCCGGAUAAUUUGUCCAUGUCUAGUUGAACUGUUGAUGCAUAACUUUUACUCUGAAGUCUUACAUAUAUGCGUUUAUGCAUCAUGUUGAAAGUUUUCGUUAAGAUUAAUCUUCCUAAAUAAGGUGUUAUAAGGUAGAUCAAUAAACUUCCAUAAUUGACUGGUUAUGCAAAAUAUUAUACAUCAAGUGAAACUUAAAAUAAAUUAGUUUUUGUUAUGAAUAAACACGAAUUUACCUCAAAAAAACAAAAAAAAAACGAGAAAAUAUUCGUUUUGUGGUAUAUUAAAUAUUUAAAUUAAAUAAUUUACAAUUAUUUACGGAUGUAUUUAUACUAUUUUAAAACUCCGAUAUUUUUUAUUUUAUGAAAACAUCGCUAUCUAAUAAGUGCACUUUUCUAAAUUUUUAAAAUAGUGUACCUUAAGGAACUUUGGUUUUCACUUUUCACACUCCCAUAUGUCGAUCUUGAUCAUGAGUAAAUUUUCUUUACGUCUUACCGGAGCACAUAAAUUUAAAUCAUUCUAGAAUUAACACGUUUCAUGUACAAAAACAAUGGUUAUGACUUAUCGUUGCGACCCGUAUUACCCAUGUAGUUAGAACUGCUAAACUGAAGAUUAAACUAGUUUCUAAGACUUAAUUUAUAACUUUAAACCUGGGGAUCUCUACCUACAAAGAUUUAUAGUAAAUAUUUUGAUGUAUAUAAUUAUUAACUUUAACUAACGGAAACGAAUAUUAUGUAAAUAAGAAAUAUUGCAGUAAUUUGUGUUAAUGCCGUGAUUGUGUUAUUAUUCGAGUACAAAUCCAGAUAAUGCAAACUAUUGAUUGAUAAAACAAAAAAAAAAAGUAUGUUCCAAAAAAUAGUCAUUAAUUAUGCAAAGUUGGAGUAUGCAUUAAAUAUAUUUAUGAAAAAAAAAGUUGAUAGAAAUUUCUAUGUUCAUCUCAAUAGAAAAGUAUUAACGUGGAAAAUAGGUUUGACAAAUAAACAUUCCGUUGUUAAUGGCGAAAAUUAUGCAGUCAAAGUCGAGAUGUGAAACCUUGACUCACUUUUCCUAAAAUCUGGUAUGGAACCAUCUUCCCCUUACGGUCAUAAUUAAUUUGGACUAUUUCGUAUUCUUUAACUAACUUUAAACAUUUAGACUAAGGAAAUAAUACAUCUACAUAACGUUUAUAUAUUAAGUCGUUCAUAAGCUUUAUAUAUCUAUGAUUAACUGAUUUCUAAUUAAGCAUUAAAUUUCUAACCAAUUUGAAUAGUUUAUUUGUUCUAUUAUGUUUAUAAGUUUUUAAUCAAAUAAUAUAAGAUGAUCAUAGUUUCGUAUUAAACAGUUUUAAUAACAAUCUGUCACUAAACUUGUGAUGCUAACUUUAGUUUAUGCAAGUAUUUAAACUGCUCUUUUUAGUUUCCAUUUCACCUCUAUAUAUCUUAAUUACGUAUAAACAUAAGAUUUUGACAAAACAGAUACGCUAAAUAAUUUAUCUAAUUUGUCGUUUAAAUCGUAUUUUCUAAAAACAAACUUUAAACAAAAAGUCUUCUUGGAAGUGAGAUGGAAACCGUAAAUGACGGUAGAGACUUCGAAAGACAGAAACUUUCUUAACACAAGGACAGUCACGAGUCGUCUUUAUUACUCAAGAUAUUUUUAUAUACGAAUAUAUCCAAAAUUCUGUUGUUCAGUAAUAUUUACUAGACGUCAAAUUCACCUGGAAUGUGGUUCCACAUACCGAACUUGUUCCAAAGCGACUUUGUCUGUUUUGAGGUUCUAUGUUUGGGCUAGAGACUGCAUACGACUGUCGUUUGAUAAGUUUUUAUGAACUUAAAAUGGUCCAAAAUUAAUUCGUUUAAAAGAGAAAAAAAAAACAAAACAAAAGCGAGAAAAUAUCUAGCCGACUUCAAAAUAUAUAAUCUAAUAUAUGUAGAAAAGAGAAAGAUUAUGAGGUGUUAUACGCAAAACCCUAAAAUCAGCUACAAAUGUCAAAUACUCUAGGUUUAAGGUUGUUUAAAUCAAUUCUAAUAUUGUUAUGUUCGUUUAAUGUAAUAAUUAAAUACAUUUUCUGACAACCUCUCCUGUAAUCGAUGAGAUAGGUUCUUGAAUCAGUAAUUUUUUACUUAUAACGUAUUUUUACUUAGGAUAAGGAAUCCAAAUUUGACAUUGGUGGUUUUUUUUUCAUCAAAAAAUGUGAACAUUUUUAUCGUUCUGUAAACAGCCAAAUUCAUUGUUACGUAUUCCAUUCAAUCCAUUCAUGAGAUUUAAAAUUCUAUGCGUAUUGGUUCUUUCGAAGUUCGAACAGUUGAAAACUUCCAUGUUCCAUGCUCCAUGCUCCCAACCUAUUCUUUAUUGUAUAAACAGUCCAGUGUAAAGAUAAGAUAAUGCUUAUCCAUUUUGUGAUAUUUAUGUAACUAUUAAAAUAAUAAUUGCUUCACUAGGGGAUAAAAUUAGCCGAUUUACCUUCUCUAUAAAUAUCAUGUUGGCUCAUCAAAUUAAAUAGAUGGACAAGAGUUCACUAGUUUAGUUCCUCUCUCUUUCGUAGAUCACUUCACACACAAUACAUAUAUAUAUUCAACACAUAAACUGAGACCAAAAGUCUUCUACUCUCUCUCGUACACAUCGAACUUCCCUCGCUCUUUAAUAUAUAUAGUUUAUCUUUAUAUUUGUACAACACGUUAUCAGCACGAAACUCUGACCAACUGGGGUUUAUCAAUCCGAAAAUUCUUAAACCAGUCGAGGUAAUGUUUAAAUUUCUAUGUUUCAAUAUACUUAAUUUAUUUAAAAUUUAUUAUUAUUUUGGAGUGAGAGGCUAGGCCUUCUCCUUUUAUUUUCGGGAUGAUAGGCAUUGCCUUUCCCGACUGAUCGUUAUAGUAGGCUAUGCCUUCACGAUCAGAGAAACACGUGUAGGCGUUGCUUCCGUGAAUAAAAAAAAAAUAAUAAUAAAUGUAAAAAAUGGCAGACUAAGACUUUUCGGACCUUGAAAUAAGUAAAAGUCAAAAUGGUAUACCAUGUCUCUUCGGACUUUGAAAAAUGAUUAAUAUGGUAGUUUAAGUCUCCUCGGGACAUGUGGUAGGCUAAGCCUCCAAUUUUAUUUAUGUUCUUUAAAUUUUUGCAAUUUAAAUUUAUACCUUUAAUUUCUGCAUUUAUAUUAUGUAUUUCAAUUUCCGUCUUUAUAUAUAUUAUUAUUCUAUGAAUUCGGUUAUCAUGUCAAAUUUGACAAAUUUCAAAAUAAAUGCCCUUGAUAUUACGGGAAAUAGUUAUAUGACCUGGACAGUGGGUGUAAAGAUGCACCUGAGAGAAAAUGAGCUUUGAUAACUUAUCGAUAUAAUCUAUAUUGGAUGAGAAAAAGAUAAAGCCAUGAUAAUUUACACCACUUUAAUGAUGGUUUAUAAGAUGAGGUGUAUCAUGAGAAAGAUCUAGACGAUCUUUGAAUAAUCAAAUCCUUGAAAGAAAGGAUUCACCAAAUUGUCGGAGUUGAUGUAAAUCCUCCUUUAGAAUUGAAAAGAAAAGAAACUCAUGAUACUAAACCAUCAAGUCGGUCCUUUUUGAAAAGGACGAGGGUGUGGAUGCGGUUGAAACCGCUAUCGCGAUCGUGGAAGAAGACGAGGAAGAAGAUUCCGUCCAUUAGAACUUCCACGAAAAAUGAAAGUGGUCGGGUGAUAAAAGGCAAACAGAAAAGGUUUGCUACAUAUGCGACAAGAAAGAAAAUUGGGUAUGUAAUUGUCGUACGCCAAAUAUUUAGCCGAUCUAUAUCGAGAAUCAAAAAGAAAAAGAGAAAUGAAGUAUAUUAAACUUCGUCUCUUAUGAACCCGAACCAUUUUUUAUAGCUUGAAUACUCAUCUAGGUGAUUCAGAUUUUCUGGUUGGUCCAUAAAAUGAAAAUAAAAUACCGAUGUGAUAUGAAAAUUAUCUUCCUGAAUAAGAUUUUGAGAGUCAGGAUGGAGACAGAUAUACCUGACAGAUUUUGGGUCAUCGUACAUGACUACUAAAGGUAACAAAUAUCUUUCCUCUCUCAAAAGUAUAGUAUCUAGUAAUAUAAAAUUUACUAUUGACUCUAGAAGAGCUUAUGAUGAAAAGACAUGCAUAAGAAAAAGAUGGCAAAAUUAUGAAUGGUAAACCUGAAGUUUAUUGAUAUAUAGCCAUCUCCAAUAAUGUUAUCGACAUUAUUGUGAAAUGUUGAAAAACCAUAAGUUUUUCACAUAUAGCAUGUCAAGAAAAUAAAGGAAACCAUCAUGGGUGAUGCAUCAUCAAACAAGUUCACAAUAUGUGAUUUCUUUAAGAAGACCCCAAAUUAAUAUCUGACUCUAAAGGAUUUGAAACAUAAUUCAUCUCAAAAUGGGAAAACUGAAUAUGUUAUUGGUUCUAGAGUGGGAUUCAGUACGAGAUUUUAGAAAUAGGUUGGUAUCUCCACAGUUGUAACACAGUUUCUUCUCGAAGCUGCUCUCUUCGUUUUGGUCGGGGCAGUUUUUAAGACUAUGCCCUCGCCUUCUACAUUGCAAGCAUAUCUACAGCAAACAUUAAAAACAUUUACUAUUACCUUCCAGUAACCACCAGGUAAAGCGAUCAUUCAAGUAUCUGUCAUUCAGCUUUUUUUUUUUUUUGCCCCAGAGUCAAACCAUCAAGAGAGGUACAAAUGACAGAACAAACUUUCACAUGAAAUUAGCCUUUGAUUAAUUCAGACAGAACCUUUGACUAAUUCAGACAGAAUCUACUCGCUCAUACAUUGCUUCUAACUAAACCAUCGGAGCUGAAGUUAAAAACCAAAGUGAACUCAGCAAACCUUGUUUCUUUCCCACUCAGACUUUUCAGGGCAUGCAGAGCUUACCGAUAUGGGUUCUUUGGCUCACCAUUGUCGACUACUGUUUCCAAUUGAUUACACCGGCAGCAAUAUAGUGAAGAGGAAGAAAGACGCAGCGAGGAAGAGGCUUUGUUCUAUAUUUUUAAUUGAGCCCACAAAACAAUUCUCAUACUUGGGGCUAGGGGUGGUUCUGCUAGAGUAUGGUACAUAAAUGAAUAAUCUGUUUUGAGUAUUAUUAUCUUGGUAUCAAUAAGCUCAAACUCAUUACUAGUAUAUAAUACGAUAUUACAAGUAUAAAUUCACCAGAUCGUGCACAACUCUGACUGUCUCCUUAUGCAUCGUGGUGUGUUUUAUGAAAUACUCCCUCCGCUCCUAAAAGAUGUAUGUUCUUGAAAAAAAAUUUGUUUCAAAAAGAUACAUUUUUUUAUUUUUUCAAUGUAUGAGUUUAUGAAAAAUUGUAAGUUUCAAAAAAAUUAAUGGUGUUUAUUGAAUUUCUAUUGGCUAAAAGUUAUGAAAAAUUGUUAUUCACAAAAAACAAUGCAUAUUUAAUGAGUUUUCUUAAUAUAUGUGAAAAGUCUAGAAUAUGCAUCUUUUAAAAACAGAGGGAGUACAUAAUAAGCAAACAUUAAACGAUGUAAUAAAACCAUCUAAACACAAAGUUCUUUAUUAUUCUCUUCAGAUCUCUCAUGAGAUAUGGUACGUCUUCUCUCUAUGCUCGCUUGCAUUAAUUAAUAGGACGCAGGUGCGGGCGCGUACGACAUGUGGUCCAUUGAAGUAGCUGGCUCUGGUGCGGGCGCGUACGGCAUGUAGUCCAUUGAAGUAGCUGGCUCUGGUGCCAUCUUGCCUAACUUGACCGGUCCAACCGGUCCAAGAGUGUCCCUCACAAUUCCCGAGCUUCUAAGUUCCGACAUUGCUCUUCUUGAUUGUCCUUCUUGUGAUUCACAUAGCUUUGGCAAAUAUACACCUAGUAUAAAAAAAAACCGAAAUGUAUUUAGAGAAAAGGUGUAAUUGUAACCGAACAAGUCUAACAACACCGUACCUUCGCCAGCAGCAAGGUUGAAGAAGAGAUCGACGACGUUAGGGCAUUGGGUUAAGCAUUUAACCGAGCAGAGUUUCUGAGUAAACCGGGAUUCCAAUAGUGCGUCCGAGGAUAUACCCAAAGAUUUCCGGUCUAGACCACACGCUUUGAUGCACUCGUCUGAUUCAAUAAUGUUUGUGACCUUGUCUGCUUCUAUCUCCGAGGACCGACACGUGUACCCCUCGAUUCCACUCCUCUUAAUGCUCUGCUCCAAAACGCAGCGUUUACCGGUCGACGAGACCGCAAACGCACACGUGUCUUUGUCCAGCUUCUCGCACUUGACUUCGUUCCCUAAGAAAUUAAUUGCAAUGGUACUUAUUUAUUACAUGCAUAGAACCUCCAUUAAGUGAUCUAUAUAUGAUUGUCGGAUAAAAAGGUGAUCUAUAUUUUUUUGAAUUACCGAUCUAAAUAUGAUUUUUUCGAUUCAAAAUAAACAAAAAUACCUUACUUUUUCUAGAAAUAACAAGAUAUUGUAUGAUAAGAUUAUAUCUAGUUUGUAUGAUUGUAGAUAUCUUCAAUAUGUACAUUUUAAAAAAAGCUAUUAGUAAUUUGCAGGCCAUGAAUCUUUUACCAAGUGUGGUUUGCAAAUAGACGGCAAGGAGAAGCAUAGAAACAACGAAAAAAGUUUUCAUAGCCAUGUUGUGAGGUAGAGAUCACAAAAAGAGAGAUAUUAAAGAAAAAAAUGCUGAUAGAAAAUUUUGCCUAAAAUAAGAGGAGUGUUUCUUCGGGU